rnacentral:rRNA from 1 species
CAGCCGCCGCGGUAAUACGAAGGGUGCAAGCGUUACUCGGAAUUACUGGGCGUAAAGCGUGCGUAGGUGGUGGUUUAAGUCCGUUGUGAAAGCCCUGGGCUCAACCUGGGAAUUGCAGUGGAUACUGGGUCACUAGAGUGUGGUAGAGGAUAGUGGAAUUUCCGGUGUAGCAGUGAAAUGCGUAGAGAUCGGAGGGAACAUCUGUGGCGAAGGCGACUAUCUGGGCCAACACUGACACUGAGGCACGAAAGCGUGGGGAGCAAACAGGAUUAGAUACCCCAGUAGUCCCUGUCUCUUAUAC